UACCCAUGUUUCAUCACAAGA
ensembl:piRNA 21ur-4228 ncRNA